AUUGAACGCUGGCGGCAGGCUUAACACAUGCAAGUCGAGCGGGGUGAUGGUGCUUGCACUAUCACUUAGCGGCGGACGGGUGAGUAAUGCUUAGGAAUCUGCCUAUUAGUAGGGGACAACAUCUCGAAAGGGAUGCUAAUACCGCAUACGUCCUACGGGAGAAAGCAGGGGAUCACUUGUGACCUUGCGCUAAUAGAUGAGCCUAAGUCGGAUUAGCUAGUUGGUGGGGUAAAGGCCUACCAAGGCGACGAUCUGUAGCGGGUCUGAGAGGAUGAUCCGCCACACUGGGACUGAGACACGGCCCAGACUCCUACGGGAGGCAGCAGUGGGGAAUAUUGGACAAUGGGGGGAACCCUGAUCCAGCCAUGCCGCGUGUGUGAAGAAGGCCUUAUGGUUGUAAAGCACUUUAAGCGAGGAGGAGGCUCUUUUGGUUAAUACCCAAGAUGAGUGGACGUUACUCGCAGAAUAAGCACCGGCUAACUCUGUGCCAGCAGCCGCCGCCG
rnacentral:rRNA from 1 species